rnacentral:rRNA from 1 species
AGUUGAUCCUGGCUCAGGACGAACGCUGGCGGCGUGCUUAACACAUGCAAGUCGAACGGGAGUAUUGAAGAAGCUUGCUUAGAGAUACUUAGUGGCGGACGGGUGAGUAACGCGUGAGGAGCUGUCCUAUGCAGGGGGACAACAGCUGGAAACGGCUGCUAAUACCCCAUAAGCCGAGAGGUAAAAGGAUCAAUCCGGCAGAGGAGGUACUCGCGUCCUAUCAGCUAGUAGGUGAGGUAACGGCUCACCUAGGCGAAGACGGGUAGCCGGCCUGAGAGGGCGAACGGCCACACUGGAACUGAGAUACGGUCCAGACUCCUACGGGAGGCAGCAGUGGGGAAUAUUGGGCAAUGGGGGAAACCCUGACCCAGCGACGCCGCGUGGGUGAAGAAAUCCUUCGGGAUGUAAAGCCCUGUUGUAUGGGAAGAGCGGAAGACGGUACCAUACGAGGAAGCCCCGGCAAACUACGUGCCAGCCGCAGC